GACGAACGCUGGCGGCGUGCCUAAUACAUGCAAGUAGAACGCACAGUUUAUACCGUAGCUUGCUACACCAUAAACUGUGAGUUGCGAACGGGUGAGUAACGCGUAGGUAACCUGCCUGGUAGCGGGGGAUAACUAUUGGAAACGAUAGCUAAUACCGCAUAAUAUUAAUUAUUGCAUGAUAAUUGAUUGAAAGAUGCAAUUGCAUCACUACCAGAUGGACCUGCGUUGUAUUAGCUAGUAGGUGAGGUAACGGCUCACCUAGGCGACGAUACAUAGCCGACCUGGGAGGGUGAUCGGCCACACUGGGACUGAGACACGGCCCAGACUCCUACGGGAGGCAGCAGUAGGGAAUCUUCGGCAAUGGACGAAAGUCUGACCGAGCAACGCCGCGUGAGGGAAGAAGGUUUUCGGAUCGUAAAGCUCUGUUGUAAGAGAAGAACGGGUGUGAGAGUGGAAAGUUCACACUGUGACGGUAUCUUACCAGAAAGGGACGGCUAACUACGUG
rnacentral:rRNA from 1 species